ensembl:rRNA nuclear encoded rRNA 5S 196
GUCUACGACCAUACCACCCUGAACACGCCCGAUCUCAUCUGAUCUUGGAAGCUAAGCAGGAUCAGGCCUGCUUAGUACUUGGAUGGGAGCUCACCUGAGAAUACAGGGCUAGAGAGA